rnacentral:rRNA from 1 species
AGUGAACGCUGGCGGUAGGCCUAACACAUGCAAGUCGAACGGCAGCACAGUAAGAGCUUGCUCUUACGGGUGGCGAGUGGCGGACGGGUGAGGAAUACAUAGGAAUCUACUUUUUCGUGGGGGCUAACGUAGGGAAACUAACGCUAAUACCGCACACGACCUACGGGUGAAAGCAGGGGAUCUUCGGACCUUGCGCGAUUGAAUGAGCCGAUGUCGGAUUAGCUAGUUGGCGGGGUAAAGGCCCACCAAGGCGACGAUCCGUAGCUGGUCUGAGAGGAUGAUCAGCCACACUGGAACUGAGACACGGCCCAGACUCCUACGGGAGGCAGCAGUGGGGAAUUUUGGACAAUGGGCGCAAGCCUGAUCCAGCCAUGCCGCGUGUGUGAAGAAGGCCUUCGGGUUGUAAAGCCCUUUUGUUGGGAAAGAAAAGCAGCGGGUUAAUACCCCGCUGUUCUGACGGUACCCAAAGAAUAAGCACCGGCUAACUUCGUG